rnacentral:lncRNA from 10 species
CAAAUUCUCAGACUGUCUGUGUGUCCCUUGGGAAGGUAGGGUGCUAAAGUGCCACAACCACCCAAAUAAACAUGCUAGAGAAAUCAAAGUAGUGCACAUAAACAUAUGGGAUUCAGCUGCCUAAUUAAAAUCCUAGUGAGCCAACAGCAACUUCAACUGUUAAGAGUUCAGUGACUGCCAGAAGUAAGCAUCAAAUUAGAUACUCAAAGUGGAAUAUCUUAAAUCUGUCCCAAUUGAUGCUUUUAAUACAAAAUUAGCAAAUUUUUAAACAUCAGUUAAAACCAUCUCAGACAGAAAUAUCCAAACGUUAUAACAAAUUUUAGAUGUAUAGAAUGAUUUGGCGCAAAAAAAUAAAAGUCCUCAAACGGUGCACUAGAUCAUUCUUCUUGUUCACAGACCAGAGCAGUAAAUAAGACACGACAGAAUGAGGAAGAAUACCAUUUCACACUAUUCCAAAAAUGUCUGUAUUAUGAAGCUUUUUGUUUUUUACAUUUACUUAUUUUACUGUUGCUAAUUUUUUUCAAAUUAGUAUAUACUUCAGGUAAAAUAUUAAAUAAAAGUCUUUUAAUAAAAGCUCUUCUUCCCUACAAAUACUCAGUUUCCCAUUCUUGUCUCUAUGAUCAUAUUUAGCUAAUUUAGCAAUUACAUGGGUUUGAAUUCAUUUUUUUCAAAUUUUGGGGUGAUUCCUUGAUCGUCUCCCAACAAUCAAUGUUGCUUUGAGAAAUCCAAUGACAAUGCUGAGUUUUUCUUCAUUGAAAGCAAUCUACAUUUUCUCUUUGGAAACUUUCUUUUUCCCUAGCAUAUUACAAUGUAAUGGUUAUAUGCCUUUUUCAUUCAUUUUAAAAGCAUUCAAGGUGCCCUUUUGAUCUAGAAAUCUGCCAUAGUUAGCUCUUAUAUUGUUUUAUAAAGUCCUCCUCUCCAUUUGCUUUCUCUCUUCCUGGAACACCUUUUAGUUGUCUGCUUCUUUAAGUCUCGUAUCUUCUCUCCUAUUUUCCAUAUCUUAAAACUUUUCAUUAUACCAUCUAAAGAUCUUCUGUUGCUUUUCGCAGGUAUUGUAUUUUUGCUUUUCAAGAGAUCGUUCUUGUUCUCUUUUAUCUUUUCAUUUUAUCUUGUUCUUGUUUUACAGGCAUUAAUAUUCUUCUUAUCUAAGAGAUGAGAGUUUUAAGAUUCUCUGUGCUAUCCCUGAUUCCUCUGGAUUUAUUUCUCCCUUAAGCAAAUUUUCUACCCUUCUUUACUGUUUCUUAGUCACCUGUUCAUAUUGACAUGAGGCAGACACACACAUAAAAUGAUUGAAAGUCCUGUGUAUACGAACAGUGUUUUAAUCAAUGGAUUUCACUUUGUGAUGGGUAGGCAAGGAGAUGCCGAGGGGGGAUGGUCUGGGAGAAACUCUACGGCCAGCAUGUGGAAGCCUGAGACAGUUCAAUUUCUUCAGAGUAAAAACCUCCUAUCUGCCACCGGAGGGUAGGCACCUACUGUCAGUGUUACACAAUCAGUCUGUUUUAGGUCCUACAUCUCACCUCUACUCUUUUUUUUUUAAACCUGGCAUCUCUGAACCUGAAGUCUCAUAAAGUUCUGUGGGGUCAAAUCAAAUUUUUAUAAUGCUAUUGUCUUCUUCUGAAAAUGCUCAGUGGUGGAAUUCUACCACAUAGCUGUAUCAGUCACCUCUAUUUCAACUUCUUUCUGAUUCCAAGAUUUUGUUGAGAUCUUUCUGGCAGCCAACAACAGCUAAAAAGGUUUUUAAGAUCGCCCUCUCACUGAAGGUGACUAAAAUUGUCAGAUCAAUUUUUUUUUUUUUUUUUUUUUUUGAGACAGAGUCUUGCUUUUGUCUUCCAGGCUGGAGUGCAGUGGCGUGAUCUCGGCUCACUGCAACCUCUGUCUCCCGGGCUCAAGCAAUUCUCCUGCCUCAGCCUCCUGAGUAGCUGGUGUGUCCGGAAUUGGUGGGUUCUUGGUCUCACUGACUUCAAGAAUGCAGCCACGGACGCUCGUGAUAAAUAGAUACUCUUCUCCUGAGGAAAGAGAAGACCAUUGGAAAGACACUGAUGGAAGAGUUCCCUGCACCAACCAAUGAUAAACACCAAGAACAUGCAGCAAUUUGGUGGCUGUUCUAGCAGGCAGGCAAGGGAGGGGGAAGACGUCAAAGUAAUGGUUAAGUUGAGAGUAGGAAGACAAGGAAGAUGGUGAGAGGAUAGAGUGUUCUAUAGUGGUGGGGGGGACAGUUAUUUGCAAAUAACGUGUUUGAAACUUGAACUAUAUAACUGGCUGCAAAUGCAGAGUGCUUCGGCUAGGUUGGAGCUGAGACUCAGAUACAUCCAAGUUAAGCAGAAUAAGAGAACUCAUCCCCUUCAUCCCUAUAGUACAGAAUCUAUCGGAAUAAACUGAAUUGCUAGAUACUACAGACGCUCCUGGGAAAAUAAUUAAAUCUUGACCCAAAAUAGGUUUAACAUAUAUACAACUAAUUAAGUGGAGGAAGCAAAAUAAGUAAGAUAUAAAGAGAGACAACAGAAAAUUUACCAAAGGGAGCAAGGUAUUUGGAUAGUACAUUUAGCAAAAGAACCUAAGGGUUGAAAGGCAGUGAAUUUAGCAGCUAAUAGCACAGACACUGGGGACCCAGGCAUUCCAGCCAUAUGUUUGAGCCCUGUGUGUAUGAAUUAACAGCUGUCUCACAACCUGAAACUUUGGGGCACAAGCCUUCCCACCACUCCCAAAAGCAAAGAAACAAACAUUCUAUUUUUAUUUUCAAAAACAGAAUUGGCCAAGAUAUUAGCAGGAAUCCCAAAUGAGAAGGAGCCGGUGGUAGCAAAGUCCUAGAUUCCCGGGUUCGAAGACAGAUGCAACAUCAGAGUUCCAACUAGAUCAGUUCCAAAUGGUAGUUCUGGCUGCAGCAAGACCAGUGCAGCUCAAUUCAGAAUAAAGCACUCUGGGAUCUAACUCAUUGUGCUUUAGGGCUAACCAACCCUGUUCUAGAACCCUUUGUUAUCACUGUAACGUAGAGCAAGGAAACAUCCUUUUUCUCACUUUGCAAAAGCAUCACUGGCUGAGGUACCUGAGAUAAGAGCUACUCCAAAGCAGCCAUGGUGGGGGUGUGGAGUACCAGCACCAGCACAGCUGCAGUGAGACCAGUGUGACAGCAUCACAGUUUUCAUUGGGAUCUGCAGCUGGCUGCAUUAGCAACAGCAGAGUUCCAGUUUUGGCAUCUGUGGCAACCCAGUUUGGGAAUCUCAGUGGUGAGCUCUAAGCCCAGGCUCUGCAUGAAUAAAUGAAAAACAAUUUGUGGGGGAAUUUCCACAAAUAUACAGAGGAAAGGAACUUCCACAAAGAACCAUAAUGGGUAGCUAAGAUGCAGAGCCAUUAAGAUGUGAAUGCUUUUGUACUCUCAGGGUGGGAAAGGCAGAGAUGUUCAAGUCACAGUAACUUGCUGCUGUGAAAAAAUGGCAUGUUUAUGAAACACUUUGUGCUUCAGAGGAAAAAUAUAUAAUAAAAUAAAACACAAGUUUGAAUUAGAUUUUUCUUCCUGAUGGUUUUGCCUCCCUCUGAGAUACAGAAUCCAAGAGGAGUUUUAGUAAAGGAAGGAAGCAGGGGGAUAUGUGGAGGAAGAAACUGCAGCUGAUUAAAUAUUUCCACUUAUGUAUUUUGUGAUAAGAAUAUCUUCAUUUACCAACAAUCAUAAACAGGAAUACCUGAGCCUGUUUUAAAUGGAACUCUAUGUAAUAGCUAGAAUUUUAGUCUACAGAAUGAAACUAUAAAAGAUGAGGUUACAGCAUACCUAAAGCAGGGACUAGUGGGCUUACAAACCCAGGUGAAAUGAGGAGGAGCUGGGCAGUAACAGUCACCAGAGUUAGCCUCAAGUCUAAAAGUGCUCACAACUCACCCCAGAACACUAACGAGCCCAUUAGCACAAGCAAUCCUUAGUUUACAAAGUAUUUGAAUAUAUGAAGAAAGACAAAAAUAAUCAAAGUGAGAAAGGCAGGGAUGGGGAAAACACCUGAGACCAUUCUGAUGUGAUGCUGAAAAUUGUCCAGCAACAUUUAUGGCCACUUGGAAGGGAAAACACUCAUCCUUUUACAUGUGCCCUAUGUUGAGAAGAAUUUUAGCCAAUUGGUUUAUUGAAAGCGCAGGCACUCUUACUUACCCAGCACUUUGCCCAUAUCAGGAAUCAUGCCUUCUUCCCUGAGAGAUCUGCCUCUGGCUUAAGGGGUCCCAUCAGUUGACAUCUAGGAGAACAGCAAAGAGAGAGUGCACGCUGACCCCAGUAGACCCAGCCCUGACUCCAGGAGAGGGCAUAUGGGACACUCGUGGGUAGUCUCUACCUUCCGGAGUCUUGCACAGGUAUAAACACAUAGCGUCGCAGUGACAGAUCACAUGGGGACCAGGAGAGAUGCUUGCAUGCUGCACUCCUGCUGUCAAGGUAACAACUGCCUUCGAUUCCUGGCAACAGGAUCCUUUCAGACCUGCUGUCAGAGAAACUAAGGGAUUAGCCAGACUUCUUCCACUGGAGAGGUCACCACCCUCCAGAGGCUGAUCAAUAUAUUAAUCCCUCCAGAGAGGGGUGUUGCUGGCAGCACACGGGCAGGAGAACUGCUUGCCCGCAUUUCUCUGUUGUGGGGGACACAGCCCCAAGAGUCCUUAUACUUCAUACCUUCGUACUGCUUUCAGCAUACACUUAAACCGCACUCACAGGGGAGUCUGUCUCCAGACAGUGACAUAUGAUGACUUGCUGGCAGCCUGGCCUCUAUCAGCAAAUCAUAGCAUUUUCUUUACAUCUUUUUUUUUUUUUGAGACAGAGUUUCAUUCUAUCACCUAGCCUAGAAUGCAGUGGCACAGCCACUGCUCACUGCAGCCUUGACCUCCCAGGCUCAAGUGAUCCUCCCACCACAGCCUCCCGAGUAGCUGGGACUACAGGUGUGUGCCACCACGCCCAGCUAAUUUUUUGUAUUUUUAGAGAGAUAGGGUCUUGCUAUGUUGCCCAGGCUGUUGUCAAACUUCUGAGCUUAAGUAAUCCUCCUGCCUCAGCCUCCCAAAGUGCUGGGAUUAUAGGCAUUAGCUACUGCACCAGGCCCACAGCACUUCUUUUUGGUGAAAUUUGAAUCCUGUCAUCAUAGUACUUGAAGGUUUGAUGAUACUUGGAGAUCAUUCUGACUAGGAUUUUGAAUGAAACAGCAGGCCUAAAAUUCAAAGCACAAAAGGAUGUGUUCCUUCUACAGCUACAGAUGCCUUCACACUGCUGUAUAUGUGUCCCAUGUUUCACCUGCCUCGGGCUUGCGAUAGGAAUGCCUGGCCAUUACCAGACCCCAAACACCCUCUCUCCUUCCUAGGAGGUGUCUCAUGGGUAAUGAUGAUCACAGCCUGGCCAGAGAAGCACCCAGAGGCAUGUCACAAUUUCACCAAAGCAGGGAAUAACUAUUCAUGACCUCAAUGUUAAACUGUUAUACAAGGCUGGGUGUGGUGGUUCACGCCUGUAAUCCCAGCAAUUUGGGAGGCUGAGGUGGGCAGAUCACUUGAGGUCAGGAGUUUGAGACUAGUCUGACCAACAUAGUGAAACCCCAUCUCUACUAAAAAUACAAAAAUUAACCAGGCAUGGUGAUGCAUGCCUGUAAUCCUGGCUACUUGGGAGGCUGAGGCAGGAGAAUCGCUUGAAUCAAGGAGGCAGAGGUUGCAGUGAGCAGAGAUCAUGCCAUUGCACUCCAACCUGGGCAACAGAGUGAGACUCUGUCUCAAAAAAAAAACAAACAAACAAUAAAAAACACCUGUUAUACAAAUCCCAAAGCAGCAAUGCUUUAUUCUCCUAAUGUGCCAGAGAUUUUCAUGAAAAUAUCUCCUUAUCGUUUUACGACCGAGCCCUUCCUAGCACUCAGAUGGGGUUCUACGGGAGCUAGAAUGAGUAUGAGCUGAGCGAAGAAGGCCUCAGUGUGCCCCCAGAUUGAAGCACAAACAUCUUAAAAUUUGAUACUCAAUGUGUUUAUUUUUUCUUUUGUUGCACUAAUCAAUUUUUUUAAAAUCAUUCUAACUCUUACUUAGUCUGUGCAAGAUAUUUUACUUAAGCCUUUCCAAGAUUCUAAUGCCCCAUGCUCCUCCCAAACUCCAGCCUGCUUGAAUUGAUAAUUCUCUUCUCAGAACAAACUCUACCACUUCCCCCUACACCUUGCAUAGACUUCUAAGCAACUCAUUACACUUACUAAUUGAUGUACAUGUGUCUUCCUAAAAAGGCUAUGUACUACUUAAGAGUGGGGCUCUGUUAUUCAACUUUGGAUUCUUACAUGGAAAAAAAAAUCUGUCAUCUAGUGGGCAUUUGGCUAAUGUCUGGCAAAUAAAUAAAUAAUGAAUGAAUGAAUGAAUGAAUGCUAAUUGUACAUUCAAAGAUGGUUUGAUGCAUUUUGAGGGCCCACAAUGUGUUGGUUAACCUCAAGAAUCCCUUUAUGAGACCAUAGUACUCCUGCAUCCAAUUCUUUUCUCCUGCUAUCUUUUUUACACAGAAUAUAUUUUUUAAUAGUUUCUAGAAUCCUAUCUUAUCAAGAUUUUUUGCAAGUAAUGGGAUGAAAAGAAGACCUACCCUAUCUGUACAUAUAUUUUCCUGAGACUCACACUUGAUUAAAUAAAUAUGUUUUCAUUGAUUUUUCUAAAAAAUGUAUAUUUAGCCAUUAGGUAUAUUUGCUAGAUAGACAUUCUUUUGCCUGUUAAUGUAUGGGAAAAUGCUUAAAAGUGUAUUUUUGUUGGAAGGAACUAGGGGAGUGCAGUAGGAGGAGAAAUAGAAAUAGGGUGAUCCAUAGCAAAUCUUGCUUUCAAAUUCUUAGGCAUCAUUAAGCAGAAUAGAAAACAAAACCGUCUGCUACAAUGCUCAUUAUUUCUUAUUUACUUUUUUCAUCAUAGAUAGCCUGUAGCCAAACUUUCUCAGCCAAAAUAUUGAUUGUCUCUAACACAUGGAAAAUAUAAAAACAAACACAGGCAAAAUGGGUAUAGCAAGUAGCUGGUCCAUUAGCCUGGAUAAUGAUUAAUUGAAUAAAUAUCUUCUUUGGGUCUUUAUCUUUGUCUACCUAACACAGAGUGUGAUAGGUAGAACGAGAUAGAAACCAAUAUUAAAAGUACAUACUCAGGGCUGGGCAAGAUGGCUCAUGCCUGUAAUCCCAG